UACGGGGGGGGCAAGCGUUGUUCGGAAUUACUGGGCGUAAAGGGCUCGUAGGCGGCCAACUAAGUCGGAUGUGAAAUCCCCAGGCUUAACCUGGGAACUGCAUCCGAUACUGGAUGGCUUGAAUCCGGGAGAGGGAUGCAGAAUUCCAGGUGUAGCGGUGAAAUGCGUAGAUAUCUGGAGGAAUACCGGUGGCGAAAGCGCUCUACUGGGCCAUAACUGACACUGAGGGACGAAAGCUAGGGGAGCGAAAGGG
rnacentral:rRNA from 1 species